AUCCAGCUUGCUGGAUGCUGACGAGCGGCGGACGGGUGAGUAAUGCAUAGGAAUCUGCCCGAUAGUGGGGGAUAACCUGGGGAAACCCAGGCUAAUACCGCAUACGUCCUACGGGAGAAAGGGGGCUUCGGCUCCCGCUAUCGGAUGAGCCUAUGUCGGAUUAGCUAGUUGGUGAGGUAAAGGCUCACCAAGGCAACGAUCCGUAGCUGGUCUGAGAGGAUGAUCAGCCACAUCGGGACUGAGACACGGCCCGAACUCCUACGGGAGGCAGCAGUGGGGAAUAUUGGACAAUGGGGGCAACCCUGAUCCAGCCAUGCCGCGUGUGUGAAGAAGGCCCUCGGGUUGUAAAGCACUUUCAGCGAGGAAGAACGCCUAGUGGUUAAUACCCGCUAGGAAAGACAUCACUCGCAGAAGAAGCACCGGCUAACUCCGUGCCAGCAGCCGCGGUAAUACGGAGGGUGCAAGCGUUAAUCGGAAUUACUGGGCGUAAAGCGCGCGUAGGUGGCUUGAUAAGCCGGUUGUGAAAGCCCCGGGCUCAACCUGGGAACGGCAUCCGGAACUGUCAAGCUAGAGUGCAGGAGAGGAAGGUAGAAUUCCCGGUGUAGCGGUGAAAUGCGUAGAGAUCGGGAGGAAUACCAGUGGCGAAGGCGGCCUUCUGGACUGACACUGACACUGAGGUGCGAAAGCGUGGGUAGCAAACAGGAUUAGAUACCCUGGUAGUCCACGCCGUAAACGAUGUCGACCAGCCGUUGGGUGCCUAGCGCACUUUGUGGCGAAGUUAACGCGAUAAGUCGACCGCCUGGGGAGUACGGCCGCAAGGUUAAAACUCAAAUGAAUUGACGGGGGCCCGCACAAGCGGUGGAGCAUGUGGUUUAAUUCGAUGCAACGCGAAGAACCUUACCUACUCUUGACAUCCUGCGAAUUCGGUAGAGAUACCUUAGUGCCUUCGGGAACGCAGAGACAGGUGCUGCAUGGCUGUCGUCAGCUCGUGUUGUGAAAUGUUGGGUUAAGUCCCGUAACGAGCGCAACCCUUGUCCUUAUUUGCCAGCGCGUAAUGGCGGGAACUCUAAGGAGACUGCCGGUGACAAACCGGAAGAAAGUGGGGACGAC
rnacentral:rRNA from 1 species